rnacentral:rRNA from 1 species
UACCAGCUCUCCGAGUGGUAGGGAUGAUUAUUGGGCUUAAAGCGUCCGUAGCCGGCUUAGCAAGUUUCCUGUUAAAUUCAGCGACCUAAUCGUUGAGCCGCGGGAAAUACUACUAGGCUAGGAGGCGGGAGAGGUCGACGGUACUUCUGGGGUAGGGGUGAAAUCCUAUAAUCCCGGGAGGACCACCAGUGGCGAAGGCUGUCGACUAGAACGCGCUCGACGGUGAGGGACGAAAGCUGGGGGAGCGAACCGGAUUAGAUACCCGGGUAGUCCCAGCUGUAAACGAUGCGGGCUAGGUGUUGGGGUGGCUACGUGCCACUUCAGUGCCGCAGGGAAGCCAUUAAGCCCGCCGCCUGGGGAGUACGGCCGCAAGGCUGAAACUUAAGGAAUUGGCGGGGAGCACCACAAGGCGUGAAGCUUGCGGUUC